GAUGAGGGUUACAACACCAGGGCUCGGUCUGCAGCUCAACAACUAGCUGUUUUUAGCCCUUCCUCAACAGUCGCUGUCUCUCUUUCUUUCCCCCUCUCUCUCGUAUGGAAACUCCUGUUCGGAGUGUGAUGGCUCUAUUCUGGGAAGAGUGGGGGUGUGUUUCUGGUUUCCAGGAAGGGAACCAGAGCUGGGUCAGCGUGUGGGAGAGAUGAAUACAGCCCCAGAGAGAAGCGAAGACAAACCUGCUGGUAUUCAUGACACUCGUCGCUGUGUGGACAAGGAAUCCUUCACAUCACAUUUCAACACGGAGCCAAAACAAAAGAUGUUAUAGAUCAUCAGCCAAAGACUUUCUCCCAUGCAUCAUUUCGUAUCAUGACAUCAGCGUCCUGAACACACUGUGACAUCACGAUUCUCCAUCAUACCACUAGAGCAGCUCUCAGAAUCACGUUUUCUACCAAGGUCCUGGAUUCGUACAGGUCCUGAAGAGACAGUAGGUUGCAGCCGAUCGUCCUCUCAGCAGAGCGGAUGACGCGCUGCAGUCUGCCCUCGUCCCCGGCAGUGGCAGCAGCGUACCAGAUGGUGAUGGAGGUGAGGAUGGACUCGAUGAUGGUGGUGUAGAAGUGCACCCUCAUUGUCUUUGGCAAAUUGAACUUCAGUGCUUUCUUGGUGAGAGAGGGCAGAUAUUUGUCUCCCACUUGAGGUCCUGGGUGAUUUUGGUACCCAGGAAGAAGAAAUGCUGUAACCACAGAGGUUACUGGGGAGUCAAACAAGGCGAUGGGGAAGGGAGGGUAUGGCAAAGUUCCUCCUGAAGUCCACAAUCAUCUCCACUGUCUUUAGAGCAUUAAGCUCCAAGUUGUUCUGCCUGCACCAGGACACCAGAUGGUCAAUCUCCCACCUAUAGGCAAACUCAUCAUCAGAGAUGAGUCCAGUGAGGGUGGUGUCAUUCGAGAACUUUAGAAGCUCUACAGACUGAUGAAUGAAGAUGCAGCUGCUGGUGUACAGGGAGAAGAGUAGAGGAGAAAGGAUGCAGCCUUGGGGAGGAUCUUGAUAUCCUUCAAUAUUUUACUGUCACAUGACUUGGGAAAUAAAGACAAAUGGUUUCCACUUUCCUUUAUAUUUCAGUACAAGUCUACAAAAUA